CCCCGUUAAUACCUGGUUCCAACAUGCUGUUGUCCUGAUCUUGUCCACAUUCUGAUUGUGCACAUAUUUGUUGACAGGUGUAGACAGUCAAAAAAUGCAUUGUGAUCUGACUAUGAUUAGAUCUUCCUGACCACAUCCAGAGGUAGUCGAAGACGCAUCUUGUAUGGAUAUCCUUGACGUGUAAACGAAUCCUGACAACCAAAGCACAACAUUUGGCUAACGUCACGGUUGUCCAGCCUUCUCAACAACAAAAAAUCACGCUGGCCAGUUGAGGGACGGGAGAGAUUCUCUGAUUAUUUAUUUGAAUGGUGGUGGACAGGUCGCGGUUAUCCGGACAGGAGCCUAUUACGCCCUGUCUUAAAUCGCUGGAUAACAAAGUUGUCCUUCCUCUGUGUGACUGUGAGUGAGUUGGCUCAGCCCCUCCCUCAGCCCUUCCUCACACAUCUUUGGUUGAUACUGCGUGUCUGAUUGACAGGAACAACCAGAUUCGGCUCUUCUGAUAUGCGAACAAGCUCCCAACGUUCACCUACAAGAGCCGGCUCUUAGAGCCAACUCGUUCGCGAACGACCCAUCACUACUGAGGAAAGAAAGAAAGAAAGGGAGAGAGAUGCUUUUGUGAAGCGGGAAAACAUUUUAUGUACUAAAAAUCGUUUUUCCCCGAAUUGGGUUGAACUGCACUGUUGUUCUGCCCCUGAACAAGGCACUGUUCUUAGGCCGUCAUUGUAAAUAAGAAUUUGUUCUUAACUGACUUGCCUAGUUAAAUAAAGGUUAAAAAUAAGUUUGGACUUGGACAUUACAUGGAAGGUAAUGACUGGAGAACCUAAAGCGAGAACAGGAGAAGAAAAAUAAACUGAGUCCACUGAAGAAACAAAUAAAACUGAAGAAGCAACAGAAGCAACUGAAGCUGAGGAAACAUAUAGAACAAAUGAGGAUGAAACAAAUGAGGUUAAGAAAUAAGAAAUCUGAUUCAGUUGAAGACAACUCAGAAGAAAUGAAGGAAGCAGAAGCAGAGAUAAGAUGAUCUCUAAGAACUAAGAAAGCUCCUACACUGCUGACCUAUGACACACCUGGAGUUCCUAGUGUGGUGUCUGUUCCUAUAGUGAGAUAUAUCACUUCUAUAUACAAGUGGAUUGGGUAGUAUUAUGUGUGUGAAUGUAUAUUUUGUAAACAUUUAAUCAGAUUGGUUUUAUUUUUUAUAAAUUACGUUUUACUACAGCCUUCGCUGUUGGCCUAUGUUGGUUAAAUUAUUAUGUACUGUUACUUGAAAUAUGUUGGGACAGUUUUUGUUCACCUGAAGGGUGUGUGAUCAUUUGGGCCAAUCAAGAUGGACUAUGGGUGGUGUGCAGAUGGUUUUGCAGGUUUUCCAUUGUUGCCGAGGAGAGAAACAAAAGGGAGAGAGAUGCUCUUGUGAAGCGGGAUAACAUUUUAUGUACGAAGAAUCGUUUUUUCCCCUGAAUUGGGUUGAACUGCACUCUACUUUACUCAACUAAACAUAUAAUAUGUAUUGUUUAAUAUUUUAGAGAGAUAGUUGUCUCAAUUCCCUUGCUGCUUGGCUGGAUUAACGAAGGUUCCAGACACUUCGGGAGCUAGGUUGGAUUCGUCGGAGCGGGAGUUGGAGAGGACUGUUUGUUCUGAGGGAGUUUGAGGGCUGUGUAUUAUUCAUCACUCAUUAUUACAUCCAGGGAUGUGUCUAACUCGAUUUCUGAUGCUACUGUGUCUGCUUCUUCCUCUCCAUCUAUAUCCUCUGAUUCUCGCCUCUCCUUCAGUAGUCUUACUAUCCUUCUCUUCCUUUUCAAUCACUUCCUCCUCCUCCUCUUCUACUCCUUCCAUCCCCUCAUCCAUCUCUCUCCUCUUCCACCACACACAUCCCUCCCCUCUCCUGUAGUACCUCAUUCGCCUCCCCCCCUCUGCAGUGAUGGCGGCAUGUCUCCUCUUUUUCUUUCUUCUCAACUACCACUUUAAUUCCUUGCCUCUCCUCCUCUUCCUCGACCUCUGUAAGCUCCGUUUCCAGUUUUCUCAGCUCCAGGGGGUCUCAGGCUGUGCAGGCAAGGGCCUGGAUCGGGGCAGAGGGGGCAGACUGGCCUGAGGAAGAGAGAGGGUCCGGGAUGGGACAGAGGGAGUCCAUGGAGGUGUGAAGAAGGGGGUUUGGGGAGGGGAAGGGGCCUGAGAGGACAUGGAGAGGGGAAUUUUAGGCUCCACACAAGAUGGUUGUUGCGGAUGGAUGGAAUUAGAGGAUUUGGAAGAAGAGCUGGGAGAGACCAUUGUUGGACUACGGGGGUGACUGGGUUUCUGGCUGAAAGAACAGACCAUUGUUGGGCUAUGGGGGAAGGUGGGAGUGGAGGGUUCUGACUUCCUGAAUAUGAAAGAGUUGUCUGUUAGGGUCCGUUGGUAUCGUCUGAAUGUAGGCCUCACUACGAAGAGAAUGAAAAAUACACAAAUAUACACAUCAGGUAGAAUACAUUUGCAUUAAAAUAACAUGAAGGCCUAAACAUGGAUACAAACAAAGAAAGUGGAUGGAAUAUUGCUGGAAAUACCAAUAAAGAGAAUAGUAUGCAUGAUAUUCAAUAACAGCAUAUUGUAUCUUGAGAUCAAUAAACACACUCAUGCGCAC
rnacentral:lncRNA from 1 species